rnacentral:lncRNA from 1 species
UUUGCACAUACUUCCAGUAUAAGGUCUGUCUCCUGCUCCUGGUUUUGUACUUAGGAAUUCUGUGUCCCCUUCAGUUAGUACAGUCAUGUGCCACAGGGCACAUAAGGAACAGAGGCUACAGUGUAUUACCUAUGGGGAAUGUAAAAUUUCCUAGUAGACUCUGCCCUGAUUGCCGUUACAUUUCUAAAGGCCUUCUUUAUUGUCAGUUGGUCAAUCAGAUUCAGCCUUUUUAUCUCAAGUCCAUUUUCUGAGUGAACUACACCAGUUUCAUCUUACUGUAAUACUUUCUAAUGCUUUUAUUGUUAUUGUUUGUUUCCUAAAUCUUUAUGGACUUAAAAACUAGUUUGCCAGUGUUUGACAUCUCAGUUCUUAAAAGAAUAAAAGGGGGAAAUUAACAUUAAGUCAUUUUAAUUUUUAAAAAUUCAUAUUUUCUUACCAUUUUCUUUUCUUUUUUCAUUUGUUCCUUCUUUUACCUUUCUUCCUUCAUUCAUUCAUUUGUUCCUUCUUUCUUUCUUUUCUUUUUUCACAUAGAGAAGUACAUAAUGUAUUGUCCUAAAUGGAACUUGUGAUUUACUUAUGGCCCAGCUU